rnacentral:ncRNA from 2 species
GAAUAAUUAAAUCUCCGAGCCAGAAUGACCUAAAGAGCAAAUCUAUGGUCACUGGACAGGGCCUGAGUCCUCAGGGUGUUCCCGGAAACGGGUAUGCCUUCACAUUUUGAAAAGGAGUAGCACACAUGUUAGA